rnacentral:tRNA from 1 species
UAGCUCAGUUGGUAAAGAAUCUGCUUGCAAUGCAGGAGACCCUGGUUCGAUUCCUGG